CCUGAGAGCACAGGGGGAGGGACAAUGAUCGGGAUAUAAACACCAGCAUUGGAGCAGGGAGCGGCAUCCCCCUUUGGGUCCCCUCCCACUUUAUGGGAGCUCUGUUUUUCACUCUAUUAAAUCUUGCAACUGCAUUCUUCUGGUCCAUAUUUAUUACUGCUCGAGCUGAGCUUUUGCUCGCUGUCCACCACUGCUGUUUGCCGCUGUCGCAGACCCGCGGCUGACUUCACCCCUCUAGAUCCGGCAGGGUGUCUGCUGCACUUCUGACCCAGUGAGGCAGCGCCCACUGCCGCUCCCAAUCGGGCUAGAGGCUCGCCAUUGUUCCUGCGAGGGCUAAGUGCCCCGAGUUCGUCCUAAUCGAGCUGAAUAGAGGUAUAACACUCACCGCAUGGUCCAAGAUUCCAUUCCUUGAAAUCCGUGAGGCCAAGAACCCCAGGUCAGAGAACAAGAGGCUUGCCACCAUCUUGGAAGCUCUAAGAACAAGGAUGCCCAGCCAUCCGGGCAUAGCCACAAGACCUUGUGACAUUACCAAGGACCUUGACUGUCCACCACAGAUCCCCUGUCCACAUAUAAAAGUGAGUCGAUA
rnacentral:lncRNA from 1 species